rnacentral:lncRNA from 1 species
UGUCAAAGGCUUCAUAGUAGAAUUGGAGGAGGAGGGGGUGAAAAGAAAGGAGAGUGGGAAGGAGGAGUCAUCGAUAAGGAAGGGAUGGAGGUUGAGGGAGCCAUUAUGGAGAGAGAAGGCUUAUAGAUGGGCUUGGAGGAGAAGGAUAAUGAGGAGAGAGUGAGAAGGAAGGGGAAAGAGAAGGAUAUGUUACUAGUGAGAAGGGAUAGAGGUGGAGAGAGCUACUGCAGAGGGGGAGGGCUUAUGGGCG